GACGAACGCUGGCGGCGUGCUUAACACAUGCAAGUCGAACGGAAAGGCCCUGCUUUUGUGGGGUGCUCGAGUGGCGAACGGGUGAGUAACACGUGAGUAACCUGCCCUUGACUUUGGGAUAACUUCAGGAAACUGGGGCUAAUACCGGAUAGGAGCUCCUGCUGCAUGGUGGGGGUUGGAAAGUUUCGGCGGUUGGGGAUGGACUCGCGGCUUAUCAGCUUGUUGGUGGGGUAGUGGCUUACCAAGGCUUUGACGGGUAGCCGGCCUGAGAGGGGGACCGGCGACAUGGGGACUGAGGUACGGCCCAGACUCCUACGGGGGGCAGCAGUGGGGAAUAUUGCACAAUGGGCGGGAGCCUGAUACGACGGCGCCGCGUGCGGGAUGACGGCCUUCGGGUUGUGAACCGCUUUCGCCUGUGACGAAGCGUGAGUGACGGUAAUGGGUAAAGAAGCACCGGCUAACUACGUG
rnacentral:rRNA from 1 species